rnacentral:rRNA from 1 species
AUACGUAGGGGGCGAGCGUUGUCCGGAAUGACUGGGCGUAAAGGGCGUGUAGGCGGCCCGGUAAGUCUGGAGUGAAAGUCCUGUUUUUAAGAUGGGAAUUGCUUUGGAUACUGUCGGGCUUGAGUGCAGGAGAGGUAAGUGGAAUUCCCAGUGUAGCGGUGAAAUGCGUAGAGAUUGGGAGGAACACCAGUGGCGAAGGCGACUUACUGGACUGUAACUGACGCUGAGGCGCGAAAGUGUGGGGAGCAAACAGGAUUAGAUACCCUGGUAGUCCACACUGUAAACGAUGAAUGCUAGGUGUAGGGGGUAUCGACCCCUUCUGUGCCGCAGUCAACACAGUAAGCAUUCCGCCUGGGGAGUACGGCCGCAAGGUUGAAACUCAAAGGAAUUGACGGGG